CUUGUCCAUCAAGAAGACAAGUCUUCUUUCUGUUGGGCUCCGCUAUGGAGGUAGAGUGUGAGAACUACCCCUUUUGGUCUCUUGACUCCAUUUUAACGAGGUUUCGGUUUAUUAGUUUCUACAGUUUCUGAGAUCCCUAUCCAAACGUCCUCUUCUCCCUGAAUAUAAGCGCCAUGCGAGGAGAAGUUUGUAUCUGUCUGUUUUGCUCACUACUGUAUCCCCAGCACCUAGAACAGAGCAUGGCACACAGGCCAAUGGAAGCUUGCUUUGCCAGGUGAGAUGGAAGUGGACUCUCAGAUUGGCACUGAAAAGGAAGAAGAAUGGAGGGGGGGGUCCCAGGGGGGCCACUUACUUCCCAGUGAUUUUCUGGGCCUUUUUCCUCCUCCUUUUCCUCCCAAGUUUCGAAUAAAGACAGUUUCUUCUUUGAGAACGCUUA
rnacentral:lncRNA from 1 species